rnacentral:rRNA from 1 species
AGCGAACGCUGGCGGCAUGCCUAACACAUGCAAGUCGAACGAACUCUUCGGGUCUAGUGGCGGACGGGUGCGUAACACGUGGGAACGUGCCCUUAGGUUCGGAAUAACUCAGGGAAAGGGGUGCUAAUACCGAAUGUGCUCUUCGGGCGAAAGAUUUAUCGCCUUUGGAUGGGCCCGCGUCUGAUUAGCUAGUUGGUAGGGUAAAGGCCUACCAAGGCGACGAUCCGUAGCUGGUCUGAGAGGAUGAUCAGCCACACUGGGACUGAGACACGGCCCAGACUCCUACGGGAGGCAGCAGUGGGGAAUCUUGCACAAUGGGCGAAAGCCUGACGCAGCCAUGCCGCGUGAAUGAUGAAGGUCUUAGGGUUGUAAAGCUCUUUUACCCGGGACGAUAAUGACGGUACCGGGAGAAUAAGCCCCGGCUAACUUCGUG